GCAAGUCGAACGGUAAGGCCCCUUCGGGGGUACACGAGUGGCGAACGGGUGAGUAACACGUGGGUAAUCUGCCCUGCACUUCGGGAUAAGCCUGGGAAACCGGGUCUAAUACCGGAUAUGAACUCCUGCCGCAUGGUGGGGGUUGGAAAGUUUUUCGGUGCAGGAUGAGCCCGCGGCCUAUCAGCUUGUUGGUGGGGUAAUGGCCUACCAAGGCGACGACGGGUAGCCGGCCUGAGAGGGUGAUCGGCCACACUGGGACUGAGACACGGCCCAGACUCCUACGGGAGGCAGCAGUGGGGAAUAUUGCACAAUGGGCGAAAGCCUGAUGCAGCGACGCCGCGUGGGGGAUGACGGUCUUCGGAUUGUAAACCCCUUUCAGUAGGGACGAAGCGCAAGUGACGGUACCUGCAGAAGAAGCACCGGCUAACUACGUGCCAGCAGCCGCGGUAAUACGUAGGGUGCGAGCGUUGUCCGGAAUUACUGGGCGUAAAGAGCUCGUAGGCGGUUUGUCACGUCGUCUGUGAAAUCCCUCGGCUUA
rnacentral:rRNA from 1 species